CCUCUCUCCCUCCUAUUCCUCUCUCCCUCCUCUCCCUCCUCUUCCUCUCUCCCUCUGCCUCCUCUUCCUCUCUCCCUCUGCCUCCUCUCCCUCCUCUGCCGCCUCUCCCUCCUCUUCCUCUCUCCCUCCUUUUCCUCUCUCCCUCUUCUGCCUCCUCUCCCUCCUCUCCCUCCUCUUCCUCUCUCCUUCCUCUUCCUUUCUCCCUCCUCUCCCUCCUCUUCCUCUUUCCCUCUGCCUCCUCUCCCUCUCUCCCUCCUCUUCCUCUCUCCCUCCUCUUCCUCCUCUGCCGCCUCUCCCUCCCCUCUCUCCCUGCACCGUCCACAGCGUCUCUCUACCUCUGUGGCAGCCUUAGUGUGGAGCUCUGCUCUGGCCUUCAACUCCAGCAUUCAUAACCCGGACCUACACCGUCCACACACACAGUCCUCAACCUACACCGUUCACACACACUGUCAUCAACCUACACCGUUCACACACAGUCCUCCACCUACACCGUUCACACACACAGUCCUCAACCUACACCGUUCACACACACUGUCCUCAACCUACACCGUUCACACACACAGUCCUCAACCUACACCGUUCACACACACAGUCCUCAACCCACACCGUUCACACACACAGUCCUCAACCUACACCGUUCACACACACAGUCCUCAACCUACACCGUUCACACAAACAGUCCGAGCCAGGCGGCCUACAGCUUUCCUCGUGCCUGAACCUCCAGACAGUCCUCACCCUACACCGUCCACACACAGUCCCCGUCCGGGCUGCCUCCCCCGGUCUCACACAGUCCCAGUCCGGGCUGCCUGCAGCCUUCCUCUGCCCCACCUGAGCUCCACUGCCUAGCCUCCGGUGGAGCUACUCUCCGGUCCUCCAGAGCCCGCCUGCUCAGCCUCAACGCACGGCUCUCGCCUCACCUCUCCAGCUGGCCACCGUGUUGACACUCAACACAGACCGCAAGCACCCCCCUCCCCCCUCUCUCUCUCCCCUCCCCUCCCUCCCUCCCUCCCUCCCUCCCUCCCUCCCUCCCUUCCUCCCGCUCGCUCUCGCUCUGUCACUCGUUGUGGAUUUCUCUCUUCCCCUCCUCGCAUUCCACAGACCUCCAGCUGUUCCUCAUGCUCGGAGAAGACGCUUGUCUAAAUGUUUAUGUCGGAAACUUCUUUCGUCUUCUUAAGACCGUGAUCGAUUUUUCUUGUCGUCGGGCGACGUAUAGGAAAUGCAGACGAUAAGAGGGCUGGCAGGGAAGGAGAAGGAGAAGUUGUGAACGCCGUUUGAAGGAGGAUUAGAGGCAGUGUGUGUCAGAGAACAGGAAAUGCAGAAAGGCGAAGGGAAAUGUUCAGGGGGAGUAGCCACGCUCAGAAAGAUGCCAGUAAAGUAAACACGGAUGAAAUUGCACAAUUGAAGGGUCAGCGUCGGCCAAGUCAUGCAUCGGGAUGGAGAGAAUCAACCGGGGAGGGAGAGUGAGCGCAGCAAAAGAAGAGAGAGAAAAAGGGAAAGAACCCAAAAUAGCUGGCAUUCAUUAGCGUGGAGUUGUUAAGCAAAUACCCAAAUGAAAAACAAUCGCUCCCUGCGCGUCUCGGCUCCUUGUUUCUCUUCUCGCCGUGGGAGACUCAGACUGUACUUUAUUGCGUUUUUCUCCUCUGACAGGAAAUGGAUUCAAAAGUUGUUUUCCUUUUGCCACUUUUCUAUUUUUUCCCGUCCAGCUUGACCGUCGCUCCGUCAGGGUGUCGACAUUACUUAACGAUGAUUAGUAAUGUCACCCUGCCCCAGGAUAUGCCACCCCCUUUUCCAGGCAUAGUAAUCCUCGCCCGCUCAGCACAUGACCCACAGAGGGGUCUUUGUAGUCGCCGGGCGGGAUAGGUGCCCCCCCCCCCCUUCCCUCCCUGGUUAGCUCGGAGCACACACUUUUUAUUUGCGGUGCAGUGAAAAACUAAUAGAAAAACAAGCCGUAUAAAGUGGCCAUUUUGUUUUGACUCUCAAAAACACACAGACAGGCUUCGGAAAGGUGGAGGGUUGGCAGCCAGAGAAUUCAAAUCUGUAUAACACACACACACACACACACACACACACACACACACACACACACACACACACACACACACACACACACACACAUGCACAUGCGCACACACAAACAUACACGCAUGCACACAGACACAGACACAGACACACACACACACACGCUCACGCACGAACACAUGCAGAUGGAUGGCAGACUGCUGUUCCCGAUUAGGUCAGAUUUAAUUAGGCCUGCACUGCUCCCUUUGGAGUGUCACUUCUGGUUGAAGAAGUCAUUAUUAUAACGAACUUUUACGACCUUCCUCAACCAACGCAACCCUCUUCAGUCCCCCCUACCCCACCCCACACACACACAGACACACACACUCACUGACACUCACGCUCACACUCACACACACACACAAACACACACACACACACACACACACACACACACACACACACACACACACACACACACACACACACACACACACACACACACACACACACACACACCAAUCCUGUGCCAGGAUUCUGUAAGAGCCUCUGGAUCCUAACACACACACACACACACACACACACACACACACACACACACACACACACACACACACACACACACACACACACACACACACACACACACACACACACACACACGCAC
ensembl:lncRNA